GUGAAUUCUUGUUGUAGCCCUAGUUCUGAGCUUACUUCUUAAGUUGACUUGUCAGGAGGGGACUGGAUUAAGCUGUCUGCAACUCCAGGAAUUAGAAUGCAGUGGAGACCAGGUGCUGCAAUAACGGAGGCUGUGAGGAAGUGAGGGAGAUAUCGAGGACACUUGGAAGGACUUCCGUUCACCUGGCUCUUUGCAGGGGACUGUCUACCCGAGGCUGAAACCUGGAGUUAUAAAAGAGAAAGAAUGCCAGCGCCCAAAGGGAAGGAGAGAAAGGAAGAGAAGGAG